rnacentral:lncRNA from 10 species
GUGGAAUAACGUUAUUGCCCAGCGGAGCUGAGGGCCCCGGAGCUCGACCGCAGCGGCAGCGACGACAACAGCGGCGACGACGACGACGACGAGGUGGGGGGAGGACGGCGUGCGAGAGACUCACGGGACGCGACGCGCCCCGCCUCCCCCGUCCGGUCCCUCUCUCCACGAGUGUCUGGAUUCCGCAGGCUUCUCAAUAGCUGUUGAAAGAAGGGAGGAAUGGAGGAAGACAGUUUUGCUGCCUUCAAAGAGCUCAUCAACUUGAGACUUGGCCAGGAAGUAUAUAUUCUGAACCAGGGAAAGAAAUGCUAAAAACCAAAUUGACAAAGUAGACAGAUGGAAGACCAACAACAUCUGCAUUAAGAAGAUGACGUAGCUUUGCCAAAGACUUAGAAGCUAAGCAGAAAAUGAGCUUAACAUCCUGGUUUUUGGUGAGCAGUGGAGGCACUCGCCACAGGCUGCCACGAGAAAUGAUUUUUGUUGGAAGAGAUGACUGUGAGCUCAUGUUGCAGUCUCGUAGUGUGGAUAAGCAACACGCUGUCAUCAACUAUGAUGCGUCUACGGAUGAGCAUUUAGUGAAGGAUUUGGGCAGCCUCAAUGGGACUUUUGUGAAUGAUGUAAGGAUUCCGGAACAGACUUAUAUCACCUUGAAACUUGAAGAUAAGCUGAGAU